rnacentral:rRNA from 1 species
UACGUAUGUCGCAAGCGUUAUCCGGAUUUAUUGGGCGUAAAGCGCGUCUAGGUGGUUUGGUAAGUCUGAUGUGAAAAUGCGGGGCUCAACUCCGUAUUGCGUUGGAAACUGUCAAACUAGAGUACUGGAGAGGUGGGCGGAACUACAAGUGUAGAGGUGAAAUUCGUAGAUAUUUGUAGGAAUGCCGAUGGAGAAGUCAGCCCACUGGACAGAUACUGACGCUGAAGCGCGAAAGCGUGGGUAGCAAACAGG